GCUCGGGCCGCCCCUCCUCAGCCAGACAGUCCGCGCCGCAGCGGCUACCUGCCGCGAAGAGACGCCGAGACUGGGCGCGCCCAGCUGCACGUGGCGGACCCGCCCCCUGUCCCGCAGUGUCCUGGACCCCGCGGGCCUCCGCUCUCCAGUCCUCGGCCCGGCCCCAGGGCCACGAUGAGCUUCUUGAGCCUGCAGCAGCCGCCGUCGCCCAGCCGCACCGGGGCCGCCUGCACCCUGCGGCAGAAGCUGAUCUUCUCGCCCUGCAGCGACUUUGAGGAAGAAGAGGAAGAGGAGGAGGAGGAGGGCAGCGGCCACAGCACCGGGGAGGACACGGCCUUUCAAGAGCCCGACUCGCCGUUGCCGCUGCCGCCUGCGCGGAGCCCCAUGGAGCCUGGGCCCGAACGCCGCCACUCGCCCGGACAGGCCCCCGGGAGCGCCGGCGAGCUGGAGGAAGACCUGCUGCUGCCCGGCGCCUGCCUCGGCGCGGACGAGGUGGGCGGAGGGGCGGAGGGCGACUCUUGGGAGGAGGAAGGUUUCGGCUCCUCGUCGCCAGUCAAGUCGCCGGCGGCCCCCUACUCCUUGGGCAACUCCUUCUCUCCUGUGCUCUGCGGCGGCCCGGGGGAUGCGUCGCCGGGGCGCACCAGGGCCCCUGCUCGCCGCGGCCCGACCACCCGGGCACCCCGACGCACAAGACCUUCCGCAAGCUGCGGCUCUUGGACACCCCGCACAUGCCCAAGAGUUUGCUCUCCAAAGCUCCAGGAAUUGAUUCCAGCUCUGUUAAACUCCGGGGUAGUUCACUCUUCAUGGAUACAGAAAAAUCAGGAAAAAGGGGAAUUUGAUGUGCGACUCCUCAAGUGAAUAUGAAUCGUUUUUCUCCGGAUUCUGUGUUGCUUCAUUCCUCAGGACAGUGUCGUUGUAAAAAGGGCAUACUGGAAUGAUUCCUGUGAUGAAGACAUGGAUGCCAGUGAUUAUGAGCUUGAAGAUGAAACAAGACCUGCUAAGAGAAUUAUAGUUUCUGAAAGCAAUAUGAAGUCCCGGUAUAAAACAGAAUUUCAUGAGCUAGAGAAAAUUGGCUCUGGAGAAUUUGGUUCUGUAUUUAAGUGUGUGAAGAGGCUGGAUGAAUGCACUUAUGCCAUUAAGCGAUCAAAAAAGCCACUGGCUGGCUCUGUUGAUGAGCAGAACGCUUUGAGAGAAGUAUGCCUGUGCAGUUCUUAGACAGCAUUCUCACAUAGUUCGAUAUUUCUCUGCAUGGGCAGAAGAUGAUCAUAUGCUUAUAUAGAAUGAAUAUUGUAAUGGUGGAAGUUUAGCUGAUGCUAUAAGUGAAAACUACAGAAUCAUGAGUUACUUUAAAGAAGCAGAGUUGAAGGAUCUCCUUUUGCAAGUUGGCCAGGGUUUGAGGUAUAUUCAUUUAACAUCUUUGGUUCACAUGGAUAUAAAACCUAGUAAUAUUCUCAUAUCUCGAACCUCAAUCCCAAAUGCUGCCUCUGAAGAAGGAGAUGAAGAUGACUGGGCAUCCAACAAAGUUAUAUUUAAAAUAGGUGAUCUUGGGCAUGUAACAAGGAUUUCCAGUCCACAAGUUGAAGAGGGUGAUAGUCGUUUUCUUGCAAAUAAAGUUAUACAGGAGAAUUAUACCCAUCUACCAAAAGCAGAUAUUUUUGCACUUGCCCUCACAGUGGUAUGUGCUGCUGGUGCUGAACCUCUUCCCAGAAAUGGAGAUCAAUGGCAUGAAAUCAGACAGGGUAGAUUACCUCAGAUACCACAAGUGCUUUCCCAAGAAUUUACAGAGUUGCUGAAAGUUAUGAUUCAUCCAGAUCCAGAGAGAAGACCUUCAGCAAUGGCAUUGGUAAAACAUUCAGUGUUGCUAUCCGCUUCUAGAAAGAGUGCAGAACAGUUACGCAUAGAAUUGAAUGCCGAAAAGUUCAAAAAUUCACUUUCACAGAAAGAACUCAAGAAAGCACAGAUGGUAAAAGCUGCAGCUGAGGAAAGAGUGAUCUUCACUGACUGGAUGACCACUAGGUCCACCACCCAGAGUAAUAGAACAUCUUGACUUAUUGGAAAUAAAAUGAACUGCUCUGUCAGCCUUACUAUAUACUGAGCUACUCAUUUCCCACCUCCCCCUAUAAACUGUGAUGAGAGGAAGCUAGGUUGGAAUCACUGAUAGACUUCAGUCUGCAAUUACUUUUCUCAAUUGGUGUCAGUAGUUUUACUGAUUAGGACUUUUAUUGUGAAUUACAGUUGAAAGCUGUAUUUUGACCAUUGCUGUGUCAGGCUUUCAUCUAAUCUUACCAGUCUAUUUUCUGUAGGAUGUGUCACUGUUGGAUGUUACACCAGCCUUUCCAGGGUUAACCACUGUGGUGGUGUGCUGCUUAUAGUUUACUGUUGCAUUGUAACAAAAGGUGUCUUUCCCUGUAGUGACCUGUAAAAAGAACUCAAGGGCUUUAUUACAGACAUACUCUCCCUUUGAAAAGGGACAUGCUAAAAGACUCACUACUACUCAGCCUUCAAUGUACCUGUGUGUCCCUCUUAUAUUUAUUUUUUUUUAAUUGUGAAUUAUACUUGUAUAUCCCACUUGGAGCACUUUGUAGGCAUUGCAUGAACCAUGGGAUGAUAAUUCUGUGGAAGUAUUGCCUUGUGAAUUUGCUACUAUUUUAGUUUUGUCUUUGCUGUAAACUUGUAGCAUUAAACAAGUUUUCGGGGGGAGGACUCAAGAUGGCGCUGUGAGAAAAACCCAGGAUUGGAGUUCUCAUUGUGUCUGCGGAGAGGUGAGUCUGAGCUGCAUUUCCAGACUGAUCUUUGUUGCCCAUGGAACGGCAAA